rnacentral:rRNA from 1 species
CAGAAACUCAAAGGAAUUGACGGGGCCCGCACAAGCGGUGGAGUAUGUGGUUUAAUUCGAUGCAACGCGAAGAACCUUACCUGGUCUUGACAUCCCGGAGACCCUUAGGAAACUAGGGGGUGCUUCCAUCUGGAAGAAUCUGGAGACAGGUGCUGCAUGGCUGUCGUCAGCUCGUGUCGUGAGAUGUUGGGUUAAGUCCCGCAACGAGCGCAACCCUUGCCUUUAGUUGCCAGCAGUUCGGCUGGGCACUCUAAAGGGACUGCCGGUGUUAAACCGGAGGAAGGUGGGGAUGACGUCAAGUCCUCAUGGCCUUUAUGACCAGGGCUACACACGUACUACAAUGGCCGAUACAAAGGGCAGCGACACUGCGAGGUGAAGCCAAUCCCGUAAAAUCGGUCUCAGUCCGGAUUGGAGUCUGCAACUCGACUCCAUGAAGUUGGAAUCGCUAGUAAUCGUGGAUCAGCAUGCCACGGUGAAUACGUUCCCGGGCCUU